CUGUACGUUACGUUUCAUGCGAAGAACACGUUUCAUGUGGAGCGGCAGAGCGUGUCUCAUCAAGACUCAUUUACUUGCGAAGGACACGUUUCACACUCCCAGCUUAUUCACGCGGACAAGGCGGAACUACGACGUCUUCCUGAGUUUCAGAGGCGGAGAGUCCAACAGUUACUUUAUCGAUCACCUGUACACUACUUUGGAUGAAAGGGGAAUCCGCACCUUCAGAGACGGACCAACUCAAGAUAGGAGAAAACAUAUCUUCAGAACUGCUAAAUUUAAUAGAAGAGGCAAGGGCAUCGAUAAUUGUUUUGUGGAAUGCAGGAACACAGGAAGCCGGUUGGUGCUUCCUGUUUUCUUUGAUGUCAAUCCGUCGGAUGUUCGGAAACAGAGCGGGAGUUAUGAGUAAGCAUUUGCUAGACACAAAGAAGAGUAUUACAAGGUGGGGAAGAUGAAGGAGAAGGUGCAGAGGUGCAGAGGUGGAGGACAGCUCUCACCGAAGCUGCCAAUUUGUCCGGGUGGGAUGUAUGAAAUGCUAACAAAAGGUAAUUCUGAAUCAGUUCCCGUCUGCUAUUUGUUCUGGCAAAAAUUAUAUGAUAACCAGAUACUCUGGUUCCCUGUCUAUCUUCCCGCUCUCUCUCUCUCUCUCUCUCACCACUUCCUCUGAAAACUGGGGACCUUUGCUCCUGCUUGGCUUCUGUCUCGUCUACAUCGGUUGCAGAUCAGGUUUUCAAGUUCAGGCCGAAGACACGAGCUUGCAGCUAACGACAGAGGCCCUGGAAUGGCCUUCUACUGCUUGGCUUCUGUCUCGUCUACAUCGGUUGCAGAUCAGGUGUUCAAGUUCAGGCCGAAGACACGAGCUUGCAGCUAAUGAUAGAGGCCAGGAAUGGCCUUCUACAAUGCCAUUCGAUGAUGAGUGUUGGUGCUCGGAUUGACUUUGAGGGUUCGGAGAGGUUGCUGCCGAGGACGAGGUAUGCAGGCCGAGGCGGAGGAGGCUCCGAGUACUGCGGAAGCCAAAGGCAGGUGGCCAAGGUGGUGCUGGAUGAUGGGAAAUCUCAAUGGACCGUUGCUACCAAUGACAACGCCAUCUCAUCUCAGCAUGCAGUAACAAAAUAUCGAGUGAUGAAAUCUUUAGCUCAUGCUCCGUGUCCACUGUGCUGAGGUCCUGGGGACACCAAUAGUUGGAGACUACAAGUAUGGUUGGCAAGCUCACAGGAAAUGGAAACCUCUUUCUUGGUCAAACUCUCAGAAGAAUAAGAAACUUCCAAGGUCAAAGGAGUGUCCAUUUGGCCUUAGUUCAGAGGGUGGAAGCAUUGUAGAGAAGCAGCCUCACCUGCAUCUUCAUUGUAGACAGAUGAUUUUGCCUAAUAUAUCCCUGGCUCUACAACAUUUGAAAUCAUCUUCAAAUUGUGAUCUUUCAGAACUGGAGAGCCUCAAUCUGGUUGCACAAAUAUUUGUUUCCCCUUCUCCAUUUAUUUUUGUUCUCCAUUUUUCAUAGUCUUCUAUGCCUUCUUCUUAGACAAAUAUUUGUUUGAUUUAGAUGGAGAUUUAGAUGGAGGGUAGCAAAGAUUGGGUUCUGUCCACUAGAUAGGAUGGUUGCAGUUUGCAAAAAGAUGAAAUCUCCAUCAAUAAAUUGCAUGUGAUUGAUGGUGGAAAUCAUCCUUCAAGAUUGGAUAAAAGCACUUACAAUCAAAUGGAUCAAAACCAAAGAUGAAGAUGAGGAUAAGACAGUCAAGGCAAUUACAGAGUUUGUUGGCGAAACUUCGAAGAGUAAGUGAUGUGUGAUGUCCUAUAACUCUUGUCCUUGUGUGAGACAUGUAUCCAUUCUAUAUCAGUGACAUUUUGAUAUUUUUAUAUCAUUUUGGUAGUCUAUGUAAAUAUUUCCUUGUUUGUAAAUCGCAUAGUUGACAAGGUGUUUAGGUGACUUUGGGUGAACAGAAUCUUGCCAAAUUAAUUGAUAUCUCGGUUCUCUCUGCCA